rnacentral:rRNA from 1 species
GCCUGGCGGCACUAGCGCGGUGGUCCCACCUGACCCCAUACCGAACUCAGAAGUGAAACGCCGUAGCGCCGAUGGUAGUG